rnacentral:rRNA from 1 species
AAAAGUCUGGUGCCAGCAGCCGCGGUAAUUCCAGCUCCAAUAGCGUAUAUUAAACUUGUUGCAGUUAAAAAGCUCGUAGUUGAAUUUCUGCGUCACCGUAUUUUGACUUUUGUCGACUGUCGGUUUCGCUUUUGGGAUUUAUCCCUUUUUACUUUGAGAAAAUUAGAGUGUUUCAAGCAGACUUUUGUCUUGAAUACUUCAGCAUGGAAUAA